GUUUGCUUUUCCAAAAAUAUCAAAUCAUUUAUAUAAUCAAACUUUUAAACAAUCUGGCAUAUCAUUUAUAAACUUAAAAAAACCAAAGAUGCCUUGAAUAAUCUUGGAUUAAAUAAAUGAUGGCUGAAAUUCAUUAUGAAAAAGUUGUACAUCGGACUUGAUGGAGUUUAUAAGGUAAUUAUAAAAAAAAACACAAAUUAAAUAGUUAAGUAAUUUUUCACUUCUGUUUGGUUGAAACUUAAACAAAUUUACUUUUUUGGGAAUCAGUUGUAUAAACUGUUUAUCCUCCCUCAAAACCCCGCUAAUUUAUGGGCUUAAACAGUACCUAACGGAUUUAUCCUUUAUCUUAUCUCAAAGCACUGUUAAUAAAUCUUUCAACAGAAGUGAAAAUUAAAUGAUGAAAAUCUUAAUCUGAAAGAAAGCUAUGCUGAUUUCACACUAAUUAACCAAAAGGAUACUGAAAAUAUAUUUCUAAUCCUUAUUUUUGUUUGAAUAUUAAAAAUCACCCAACUACAACUUGUAUUCCUCUUCUUUUUAUAGAGUUUCGUUUGACACGAGUUAAAUGUGCCUGUAGUUCAGACACGAUGUAGAAGAAAAAGCGGGUUAUAAAAAGCGUGCAAAUAUGGCAUUCUUGCUAGACUCAAUUUUGAAAACGUUGGCGGGAAAAAAAUAAUCAAGCUUUGAUGAUUUGAAGUCGUAUGAUCAAUCUAGAAAGUAUGCCCGCCCAAAAAAAAAUUCUCACAAAAGAUGUUUGUGAUGAAUGUCGUAUACUUGCUUUCCUCUGAAGAUAUGGGUGAUACUUAAUUUUCCUUUUAGAGGUUUUAAGAUGAAAUUGAAAAACCAACAAUCUUGGCUUGGCAGUCAAUAUCUAAAAUGAUUAAAAUCUAUUAAUUUUUAAUGAUUUAAAAAUAAAGAACGUAAAAAUAAAAAACUUGUUUCAUUAACUUUA